CACGUAGGGCGCAAGCGUUGUCCGGAAUUAUUGGGCGUAAAGAGCUCGUAGGCGGUCUGUUGCGUCCGCUGUGAAAACUCGGGGCUUAACCCCGAGCCUGCAGUGGAUACGGGCAGACUAGAGGUAGGUAGGGGAGAAUGGAAUUCCCGGUGUAGCGGUGAAAUGCGCAGAUAUCAGGAGGAACACCGGUGGCGAAGGCGGGUCUCUGGGCGGUAACUGACGCUGAGGAGCGAAAGCGUGGGGAGCGAACAGG
rnacentral:rRNA from 1 species